AGAGUUUGAUCCUGGCUCAGAAUCAACGCUGGCGGCGUGCCUAACACAUGCAAGUCGAACGAGAAAGUGGAGCAAUCCAUGAGUAAAGUGGCGCACGGGUGAGUAACACGUGACUAACCUACCCUUGAGUGGGGGAUAACCUAGGGAAACCUGGGCUAAUACCGCAUAAUACCUACGGGUCAAAGGAGCAAUUCGCUCGAGGAGGGGGUCGCGGCCGAUUAGUUAGUUGGCGGGGUAAUGGCCCACCAAGACUAUGAUCGGUAUCCGGCCUGAGAGGGCGCACGGACACACUGGAACUGAAACACGGUCCAGACUCCUACGGGAGGCAGCAGUGGGGAAUUUUGCGCAAUGGGGGAAACCCUGACGCAGCAACGCCGCGUGGAGGAUGAAGUCCUUCGGGACGUAAACUCCUUUCGAUCGGGACGAUUAUGACGGUACCGGAAGAAGAAGCCCCGGCUAACUUCGUGCCAGCAGCCGCGGUAAUACGAGGGGGGCGAGCGUUGUUCGGAAUUAUUGGGCGUAAAGGGUGCGUAGGCGGUUUGGUAAGUCUGAUGUGAAAUCUAUGGGCUCAACUCAUAGUCUGCAUCGGAAACUGCCGGGCUUGAGUAUGGGAGAGGUGAGUGGAAUUCCUGGUGUAGCGGUGAAAUGCGUAGAUAUCAGGAGGAACACCUGUGGCGAAAGCGGCUCACUGGACCAUAACUGACGCUGAUGCACGAAAGCUAGGGGAGCAAACAGGAUUAGAUACCCCCGUAGUCC
rnacentral:rRNA from 1 species